UGUACAAGAGGAGAGGUUGAUGAAACCGGUGUGGAAGUUAAGGACAUAGAACUGGUCAUGUCACAAGCAAAUGUGUCGAGAGCAAAGGCAGUCCGAGCCCUGAAGAACAACACAAGAGUAACUGCAGCUGGGUUUGAAAUUUGUUCUAUCAUUAAUAAAGUUAUGGCUUCUUGUUGGAUGAAAAUAAAUAAAUAAAUAAAUAAAUAAAAUUCACAUGGAGGGACUUUCCUGGUAGCCCAGUGGUUAAGAUUCCACCUUCCAAUGCAGGGGACGUGGAUUCGAUCCCUGGUGGGGGAACUACAAUUCUACGUGCCACGUGGGGCAGGACAGUAAGUGGCACUAGAAAACGUGAAUGUGCUAAGUCACUUCAGUCAUGUCCAACUCUUUGUGACAUCAUGGACUAUAGCCCACCAGGCUAGUCUGUCCUUGGGAUUCUCCAGGCGAGAAUACUGGAGUGGGCUGCCAUUUCCUCCUCCA
rnacentral:lncRNA from 1 species